CUUCACUGGCGGAGAUAGUUUCGUACACCCGCCAUUUUUGUCGAAAUAAUGCGCCAAAUAAACUGAUAUGUCUUGUUUCGUUUAUUUAAGCCAACCCAAAGGAGCUAACAAAUAAAUCAUCAGUCCUCAAACGAAUCAACCAGUGAAGGAGAAAAACAUUCAAAGCCGUAAAUUGUCAAAUCCAUCAGUUGGAAGAUGGAUGUCAAAGUCUUAGACAACGAAAGGCUUCCAGAGUUAAGAAAAGACCACUUCAACAAAAACAAUCAUGCAAAGAAUGACUGCAAAAAAUCUUUUCGCAGAUGCGUUUCAUCAUCAAGUGUAUAAGGAAAAGGGACCUGGGUACAGAGACUAGAUGUAAAUGUCAAGGACUGAAAUGAGCAAUUCAAUGGUUUCUUACUAAUUGUGUUUAUAUGCGUCAUAAGAAAUUAAAACUGUUAUAAAUGGA